GGACAGGUGGCCGAGUGGUUUAAGGCACUGGUCUUGAAAACCAGCGUGCGUGAGAGCGUACCGUGGGUUCGAAUCCCACCCUGUCCGCCA
rnacentral:tRNA from 1 species